rnacentral:rRNA from 1 species
AGUGAACGCUGGCGGUAGGCCUAACACAUGCAAGUCGAACGGCAGCACAGUAAGAGCUUGCUCUUACGGGUGGCGAGUGGCGGACGGGUGAGGAAUACAUCGGAAUCUACUUUUUCGAGGGGGAUAAUGUAGGGAAACUUACGCUAAUACCGCAUACGACCUACGGGUGAAAGCAGGGGAUCUUCGGACCUUGCGCGAUUGAAUGAGCCGAUGUCGGAUUCGCUAGUUGGCGGGGUAAAGGCCCACCAAGGCGACGAUCCGUAGCUGGGCUGAGAGGAUGAUGCGCCACACUGGAACUGAGACACGGUCCAGACUCCUACGGGAGGCGGCAGUGGGGAAGAUUGGACAAUGGGCGCAAGCCUGAUCCAGCCAUACCGCGUGGGUGAAGAAGGCCUUCGGGUUGUAAAGCCCUUUUGUUGGGAAAGAAAAGCAGCAGGUUAAUACCCCGCUGUUCUGACGGUACCCAAAGAAUAAGCACCGGCUAACUUCGUG